rnacentral:rRNA from 1 species
UACGAAGGGGGCGAGCGUUGUUCGGAAUCACUGGGCGUAAAGGGCGCGUAGGCGGCCCUCCUUGUCGCGUGUGAAAGCCCCGGGCUCAACCUGGGAACGGCGCGCGAGACGGGGGGGCUUGAGUUCGGGAGAGGGAAGCGGAAUUCCGGGUGUAGCGGUGAAAUGCGUAGAUAUCCGGAGGAACACCGGUGGCGAAGGCGGCUUCCUGGACCGACACUGACGCUGAGGCGCGAAAGCUAGGGGAGCAAACGGG